rnacentral:rRNA from 1 species
UACGUAGGGGGCGAGCGUUGUCCGGAUUUAUUGGGCGUAAAGAGCGUGUAGGCGGCCAGGUAGGUCUGCUGUGAAAACUCGAGGCUCAACCUCGAGAUGUCGGCGGAAACCAUCUGGCUAGAGUCCGGAAGAGGAAAGUGGAAUUCCUGGUGUAGCGGUGAAAUGCGCAGAUAUCAGGAAGAACACCCGUGGCGAAGGCGGCUUUCUGGGACGGUACUGACGCUGAGACGCGAAAGCGUGGGGAGCGAACAGG